rnacentral:rRNA from 1 species
CCUACGGGUGGCAGCAGUGAGGAAUAUUGGUCAAUGGGCGCGAGCCUGAACCAGCCAAGUAGCGUGAAGGAUGACUGCCCUACGGGUUGUAAACUGCUUUAGACAGGGAAGAAAAAAGACAGUACCUGUAGAAUAAGCUCCGGCUAACUACGUGCCAGCAGCCGCGGUAAUACGUAGGGAGCAAGCGUUAUCCGGAUUUAUUGGGUGUAAAGGGUGCGUAGACGGAGAAGCAAGUUAGUUGUGAAAUCCCUCGGCUUAACUGAGGAACUGCAACUAAAACUACUUCCCUUGAGUACUGGAGAGGAAAGUGGAAUUCCUAGUGUAGCGGUGAAAUGCGUAGAUAUUAGGAGGAACACCAGUGGCGAAGGCGACUUUCUGGACAGUAACUGACGUUGAGGCACGAAAGUGUGGGGAGCAAACAGGAUUAGAUACCCCAGUAGUC